GACGAACGCUGGCGGCGUGCUUAACACAUGCAAGUCGAACGGAAAGGCCCCUUCGGGGGUACUCGAGUGGCGAACGGGUGCGUAACACGUGAGUAACCUGCCCUUGACUUCGGGAUAACUUCAGGAAACUGGGGCUAAUACCGGAUAGGAAUCCUUGCUGCAUGGUGGGGGUUGGAAAGCUUCGGCGGUUUUGGAUGGACUCGCGGCUUAUCAGCUUGCUGGUGGGGUAGUGGCUUACCAAGGCUUUGACGGGUAGCCGGCCUGAGAGGGCGACCGGCCACAUUGGGACUGAGAUACGGCCCAGACUCCUACGGGAGGCAGCAGUGGGGAAUAUUGCACAAUGGGCGGAAGCCUGAUGCAGCAACGCCGCGUGCGGGAUGACGGCCUUCGGGUUGUAAACCGCUUUCAGCAGGGGCGAAGCUUGUGGUGACGGUACCUGCAGAAGAAGCACCGGCUAACUACGUG
rnacentral:rRNA from 1 species